GACGAACGCUGGCGGCGUGCUUAACACAUGCAAGUCGAACGGAAAGGCCCUGCUUUUUUGGGGUGCUCGAGUGGCGAACGGGUGAGUAACACGUGAGUAACCUGCCCUUGACUUUGGGAUAACUUCAGGAAACUGGGGCUAAUACCGGAUAGGAGCUCCUGCUGCAUGGUGGGGGUUGGAAAUUUUCGGCGGUUGGGGAUGGACUCGCGGCUUAUCAGCUUGUUGGUGGGGUAGUGGCUUACCAAGGCUUUGACGGGUAGCCGGCCUGAGAGGGUGACCGGCCACAUUGGGACUGAGGUACGGACCAGACUCCUACGGGAGGCAGCAGUGGGGAAUAUUGCACAGUGGGCGGAAGCCUGAUGCAGCAACGCCGCGUGCGGGAUGACGGCCUUCGGGUUGUAAACCGCUUUCGCCUGUGACGAAGCGUGAGUGACGGUAAUGGGUAAAGAAGCACCGGCUAACUACGUG
rnacentral:rRNA from 1 species